rnacentral:rRNA from 1 species
CCUACGGGAGGCAGCAGUCGAGAAUAAUUCACAAUGGGGGAAACCCUGAUGGUGCAACGCCGCGUGGAGGAUGAAGGUCUUCGGAUUGUAAACUCCUGUCAUCGGGGAGUAAGACCUGGGCGUGAAUAGCGCACAGGGUUGAUAGUACCCGAAGAGGAAGGGACGGCUAACUUCGUGCCAGCAGCCGCGGUAAU